GGGUUUGAGGCAGAGCUCCUUGAAGUCCAAUAGAGGUUUAUGCCAGGUUGAUUGAGCUGCUAAGCUAUGGAUCCCACAGCCCCUAUUGCUAUAUCUAUCAUGUUGUUGUAUAAUAUCUUUAAAGCUGAUAGGCCUGUGGCUUGCAUAUCUCAGGAGCUUCAUCACCUGUUUUUGUUAGAUCCUUGUUUGGAUUGAAGGGAGCUCUACAUCUUCUCUCU
rfam:Cucumis sativus cultivar 9930 chromosome 1, whole genome shotgun sequence.